AUUGAACGCUGGCGGCAUGCCUAACACAUGCAAGUCGAACGGUAACAGGCCUUCGGGCGCUGACGAGUGGCGGACGGGUGAGUAACGCGUGGGAAUCUGCCUAGUAGUGGGGGACAACCUGGGGAAACUCAGGCUAAUACCGCAUACGCCCUACGGGGUAAAGCAGGGGACCUUCGGGGCCUUGCGCUGAUGGAUGAGCUCGCGUCGGAUUAGCUUGUUGGUGAGGUAAAGGCUCACCAAGGCGACGAUCCGUAGCUGGUCUGAGAGGAUGACCAGCCACACUGGAACUGAGACACGGUCCAGACUCCUACGGGAGGCAGCAGUGGGGAAUAUUGCACAAUGGGCGCAAGCCUGAUGCAGCCAUGCCGCGUGUGUGAAGAAGGCCUUAGGGUUGUAAAGCACUUUCAGCAGUGAGGAAAGGGGUGUCGUUAAUAGCGCCAUCCUGUGACGUUAACUGCAGAAGAAGGACCGGCUAACUCCGUG
rnacentral:rRNA from 1 species